UCUACAGCUGAACCUUGGUUGCUUUGCUGCAACUUUUUUUGCUCUGGCCUCUUUGAAAUAGGAGCCUUCCCCAGCAUGCCUUUAUUUUCAGGAGACGUUUUACAUUCUCGAUAAGCCUGGAUAAGGCUCUUUUGGAAGGUACAGGCUGUUGCUGUUUCUCUUGCAUCUAAAAAGUAUAGUGUUGGAUUUGUAUUCUGUUAGUGAAGAGUUAACAUAAAAUGUUGUUCUUGGGAAUAUGGGACUGCUCAUCCUGUCAGUGAAGCUAAGAAGAAUUUUCUAUGUGUAACAGCACUGGGAAGCAAGACUAUUUUUCAGGGCGUCACAGACCUUGGGUGCUGCAAAUGUAAGCAACAGUCCCCGUCAGACCCGGGGAGAAAGGAACAGCAGGUGGCGUUGGGAACCCUUUGGGAAACGCCAGCUUUCCAUCCCUUGGCCCCAGAGCCCGCUCCUUCUCCCCCCAGCCCCGAAGCUGCCCGGGCACUUUGUCCCGCCUCAUCCUGCGCCAGACCCGCUACAGGGGUCACGGUGGACUUUUAAGGUCACGCCUCAACCAAAAGUUUUUGUUUCAGCGGGUAAAAAAGUACAAGGGGAGUGGGGAGGGAGGUCGAAACACGACACCGAGCACCCCAGCUCCCGCUACAGCGGCGACUCUCGUGCAAGGCCAU